rnacentral:rRNA from 1 species
UAGGGGAGCCGAAGGGAAACCGAGUCUUAACUGGGCGUUAAGUUGCAGGGUAUAGACCCGAAACCCGGUGAUCUAGCCAUGGGCAGGUUGAAGGUUGGGUAACACUAACUGGAGGACCGAACCGACUAAUGUUGAAAAAUUAGCGGAUGACUUGUGGCUGGGGGUGAAAGGCCAAUCAAACCGGGAGAUAGCUGGUUCUCCCCGAAAGCUAUUUAGGUAGCGCCUCGUGAAUUCAUCUCCGGGGGUAGAGCACUGUUUCGGCAAGGGGGUCAUCCCGACUUACCAACCCGAUGCAAACUGCGAAUACCGGAGAAUGUUAUCACGGGAGACACACGGCGGGUGCUAACGUCCGUCGUGAAGAGGGAAACAACCCAGACCGCCAGCUAAGGUCCCAAAGUCAUGGUUAAGUGGGAAACGAUGUGGGAAGGCCCAGACAGCCAGGAUGUUGGCUUAGAAGCAGCCAUCAUUUAAAGAAAGCGUAAUAGCUCACUGGUCGAGUCGGCCUGCGCGGAAGAUGUAACGGGGCUAAACCAUGCACCGAAGCUGCGGCAGCGACGCUUAUGCGUUGUUGGGUAGGGGAGC